GAAGACGAGGACAAUCCACAAUUGCUUAGCCGACUUUUAUGGGACGAAUUGGACAGACAAUUAAAAAAAUAAGAUAUAUAAUUGUGAAGUUCCAUAAGAAGUGUGCUGUUUCUCAUAUGCUUUCAGAUCCAACUUUGCAUUCACACACAAUCCCGGACUUAGAGGGGCUCCGCACUUAAUGCUCAAUCCUCGGUGUCUCAAAAAUACAUCACAUUUUGAAGUGUGCACUGAUACUAUUUCAGAAUAUACCAUUCAACAUUCAAAUUAAAAACAUAGAACCAAAACCAAAUGAAACUCUAUUAAAUUUUCAUUAUGUAGCAUCUAUAAUAUACGUGUGAUUAAUAUAGAUCUCGCAGGAUUAUUAUGAUCAUAAUGCUUUGAAUCAGAAUACUAUCUAAACGACUGCAUAUAAAUAGAUUGUUAUAAUUCUUAAAGAUGUAAAAACAAAAUUUAUGAAGUAAAAUUAUGUUACUUUAAUUUCGCAAGCAGAUAUACAAAUUGUUUCCAUUGCGGGUAAAGGGAAAUAUAGGCUGCUGCAAAGGUAAGUGCUAUCAUUUUGAUCGCUUCAUCCUUGCAAGAGUUGCAAGGAUUCCAGAUAUCCUUGCGGGAUGUCUAAAAUCACAGAAAUUCAUUUUCAAAGAAUAUGAUGGUUAUGUUCUCUUCGAUCUCUACGCAACUUUGUGCCCACUAGUGGCCGAGUGUUUUUCUGAUCAUCAAUACAGUCAUUUUAACUGGCACCUCAAGGUAAUGAAAUUUUUCUAACAUUUUAAAUCAAUCAUCAUCAGAUGAUAUAAGAUCGAGUUCUUGUUGGCAAACCUUUGAAUCAUUGAAGUGCCUAAGCAUUUGCCAACAAUUCAAAGGUUAUUUUGUUGCCAGGCAAUCGAGAGCUCAUGGAAUAAAGUUAAGUGGUAUGCUAAGCAGAUCCCUGUGUUUUUUUUUAACAAAUGAAA